rnacentral:misc_RNA from 1 species
GUAGGUGAACCUGCGGAAGGAUCAUUAACACGUAUCCAACGUAUACACCCCUGUGGUCCUGUGCGCGGCUCUAUAUGUAAGUGGUAGAAACCUACUUUGUGACUCGAGUGGUUGCAAAGAAAAUUUCUUGAUCUCAAAUAUCUGACCUGCGUGGUUAGCAGAAUUUGAGGUCUUGCGAUUGGGUUAUACUAGUUUUCUGCGAGAAAACAGCUUCAUAUAGCAGACGUUUUAACCAAACCUUUACCAAAUU